GGUCCAGACUUUGAUCCUGGCUCAGGAUGAACGCUGGCGGCGCAUUUAAGACAUGCAAGUCGAACGAAAAUUUACGCUUAAAGAGUUGAUUAGUUUACUAAGAGAUGAUUUAUUGUAAAUUUUAGUGGCGGACUGGUGAGUAAUACAUAGGUAAUCUGCCUUUUAGAGGGGAAUAACUAGGAGAAAUCCUAGCUAAUACCGCGUAAGACCACACUUAGGCAUCUAAGAGAGGUCAAAGGAGUAAUCCGCUAAAAGAUGAGCCUGUGGCUGAUUAGUUAGUUGGUGGGGUAAGAGCCUACCAAGACGAUGAUCAGUAGCCGAGCUGAGAGGCUGGCCGGCCACAUUGGGACUGAGAUACGGCCCAGGCUCCUACGGGAGGCAGCAGUUGGGAAUAUUGGACAAUGGAGGAAACUCUGAUCCAGUGACGCCGCGUGAAGGAAGAAGGUCUUCGGAUUGUAAACUUAUUUUAUCAGGGAAGAAGAAAGUGACAGUACCUGAAGAAAAAGGACCGGCAAACUACGUGCCAGCAGCCGCGGUAAUACGUAGGGUCCAAGCGUUAUCCGGAUUUACUGGGUGUAAAGGGCGAGUAGACGGCGCUGUAAGUCAGCUGUGAAAACUUAGGGCUCAACCUUAAGCCUGCAGCUGAAACUGUAGUGCUAGAGUGCAGGAGAGGUAAGCGGAAUUCCUAGUGUAGCGGUGAAAUGCGUAGAUAUUAGGAGGAACACCAGUGGCGAAGGCGGCUUACUGGACUGUAACUGACGUUGAGGCGCGAAAGUGUGGGGAGCAAACAGGAUUAGAUACCCUGGUAGUCCACACCGUAAACGAUGGAUACUAGGUGUAGGCGAGAUAUCGUCUGUGCCGGCGCAAACGCAAUAAGUAUCCCACCUGGGGAGUACGGCCGCAAGGUUGCAACUCAAAUGAAUUGACGG
rnacentral:rRNA from 2 species